rnacentral:lncRNA from 1 species
UGUAUGUGUGUAUAAACUCCAAUGGAGAAAGAUGAGAGCUUAGUUCUAGGUGAUUUAAGAACAGAGAUGGGUGAGAGUGUUUAAGUGUUUAAGAGACUAAAGAGAAUGAGAUUAAGAGACUGAGAGACUAGAGAGAGACUGAGAGAAUAAGAGACUGAAGAUUAGGGAAGGAGAAGGGAAACCCCCUUACUCACUUAGUUCUUUACACACGACAUUACUCAGCUUAUAUAUGAGCUUUACAACUUGUAAUACUUAGAAACCCUAGCAUAAAGGAUAAGAGAAGAAGGGUGGAGAUCUUCUGGUUUGAAUUGGACGUUGCUGAUUAAGUCUUGGGGCUUUACUAGCUGGUUGAGGGCGCCUGAUUGGAUAAGGGAAAGCACGGCCAGGACAGUCCCUUUAUGUCUUGUGUAUCUGCCCAUCUCUUUGUCCAGAUACAUAGUCUUGUCUUGCUCUUCUUUUCCAGCUGUAGCCAGCCUGUCUUGGACCACUCUAACCAAUCCCAUACUUCCCUCAAACUGGCGCCAACUCUUGUUUGAAUCUUCUUGCCCCCAAAGCAUCUUCUUGAUUCCAUUUGAUGCUUCUCACUAUCCCGGACUUUGCACAUUCAUAUUAGAGCUUCUCCUUGGCUGUACGGUCUUGCCAUAGCCGUACACCAAUGCCCUAUAUUUGCACCACACUUCCAUCUUCUCUUUAACUCCUCCAAAGCCUUCACAUGAUCAGUCUAAGUCUUUCCUAGACUUAACUUCACAACAUAACUACUUCAGAAUACUUCUGAAGCUUGAUUGAACUCUUCUUGACUUCUUCUAGAGCUUGCCCUAUUAUUGUACAAGCUCUAUCUUCUCUUCAGUUCAACACUCCCCCUCAAGCUUGACUUUAGGAGAUCCUAAGCCAAGCUUGGAACUCUGAAGAGUCUCCCUCAUUAAAAACCUUACAAGGAAAACCCAUUGGGACAAAACCUUGCAAGGGAAAAAGAGUAGAGCUCUCCAAAGCCUAGGGAUUGGCCAGUGAGCUCUUGUGCCUUAGAACCAGUGUGGUUGGACACAAGAAGCUCUGGAUCACGGCCUAACAGGUGCAGCAACUCUUCACAGCUUUGCGCACACUUCACACUUCACACUUCAGCUUCACCUCUUUAUGGAACCGGUUUGAAGUCUCCCCCUCUCAACUGACUUCACAGCCAUCUUAGAGAAGCUAGGACACGACCAGAUCAUCUUCAAAAACACUAGUGAGGCUGAUCAACACUUCACACACGGCUUGCCCUCUUCAUAGAACUGGUUUGGAUCUCCCCCUCUCAACAGACUUCUCAGCCAUCUUAGAGAAGCUAGGAACUGACCAGGGACAUCUUUAGUGAGGCUCAAGCAAUGGUACCUGAUACAUUAUCCCAAAGAUGCAUCAGUACCUAUCAAAAAACAAGAAAAUGAAUAUCCUGCAUCACACUUGAUGCAC